CCUACGGGAGGCAGCAGUGAGGAAUAUUGGUCAAUGGACGCAAGUCUGAACCAGCCAUGCCGCGUGCAGGAAGACGGCUCUAUGAGUUGUAAACUGCUUUUGUACGAGGGUAAACUCAGAUACGCGUAUCUGUCUGAACGUAUCGUACGAAUAAGGAUCGGCUAACUCCGUGCCAGCAGCCGCGGUAAUACGGAGGAUUCAAGCGUUAUCCGGAUUUAUUGGGUUUAAAGGGUGCGUAGGCGGUCGGAUAAGUUAGAGGUGAAAUCCCGAGGCUCAACUUCGGAAUUGCCUUUGAUACUGUUAGGCUAGAGAGUAGUUGCGGUAGGCGGAAUGUAUGGUGUAGCGGUGAAAUGCUUAGAGAUCAUACAGAACACCGAUUGCGAAGGCAGCUUACCAAGCUACUUCUGACGUUGAGGCACGAAAGCGUGGGGAGCAAACAGGAUUAGAUACCCCAGUAGUC
rnacentral:rRNA from 1 species